rnacentral:rRNA from 1 species
AUUAAAGAGAGUUUGAUCCUGGCUCAGGACGAACGCUGGCGGCGUGCCUAAUACAUGCAAGUAGAACGCUGAGAACUGGUGCUUGCACCGGUUCAAGGAGUUGCGAACGGGUGAGUAACGCGUAGGUAACCUACCUCAUAGCGGGGGAUAACUAUUGGAAACGAUAGCUAAUACCGCAUAAGAGAGACUAACGCAUGUUAGUAAUUUAAAAGGGGCAAUUGCUCCACUAUGAGAUGGACCUGCGUUGUAUUAGCUAGUUGGUGAGGUAAAGGCUCACCAAGGCGACGAUACAUAGCCGACCUGAGAGGGUGAUCGGCCACACUGGGACUGAGACACGGCCCAGACUCCUACGGGAGGCAGCAGUAGGGAAUCUUCGGCAAUGGGGGCAACCCUGACCGAGCAACGCCGCGUGAGUGAAGAAGGUUUUCGGAUCGUAAAGCUCUGUUGUUAGAGAAGAAUGAUGGUGGGAGUGGAAAAUCCACCAAGUGACGGUAACUAACCAGAAAGGGACGGCUAACUACGUGCCAGCAGCCGCGGUAAUACGUAGGUCCCGAGCGUUGUCCGGAUUUAUUGGGCGUAAAGCGAGCGCAGGCGGUUUUUUAAGUCUGAAGUUAAAGGCAUUGGCUCAACCAAUGUACGCUUUGGAAACUGGAGAACUUGAGUGCAGAAGGGGAGAGUGGAAUUCCAUGUGUAGCGGUGAAAUGCGUAGAUAUAUGGAGGAACACCGGUGGCGAAAGCGGCUCUCUGGUCUGUAACUGACGCUGAGGCUCGAAAGCGUGGGGAGCAAACAGGAUUAGAU